rfam:Schistosoma mattheei strain Denwood, Zambia genome assembly, scaffold: SMTD_contig0000391
AGUCCCAAACAGGACGAAACGCGCGUCCUGGAU